rnacentral:rRNA from 1 species
UACAGAGGGUGCGAGCGUUAAUCGGAAUUACUGGGCGUAAAGCGCACGUAGGCGGAUUUGUAAGUCAGGGGUGAAAUCCCGGGGCUCAACCUCGGAACUGCCUUUGAUACUGCGAAUCUUGAGUCCGAUAGAGGUGGGUGGAAUUCCUAGUGUAGAGGUGAAAUUCGUAGAUAUUAGGAAGAACACCAGUGGCGAAGGCGGCCCACUGGAUCGGUACUGACGCUGAGGUGCGAAAGCGUGGGGAGCAAACAGGG